AAGGAUGCCCUUAUGCUCUUGCUCUUCAGAUCUUAUACUUUUAGAUUUAAAUUGUGUUUGAUUUUUAAGAGAAAGAAACACGAGAAAAAAACAUCAGAUUGAUUCAUUCUAAUUUGAUUCAUCUUCUUCAACUAAUUUAAUUCACUUUCUCUCUCGAGAACAGAGGUAAGUGUUUCCGGCGAAGGAAGUGUCGUUGAACACCAUGAAUUGACUGACCAUUUAGUGGUACUCUCCCGGAGAGAUCGUUGAAAGAGAGAUAUAGCGUUGUUUGACUCGACAUGUUUCCGAUUCCGGUUGGGAUUAAACCGGUUAGUUGAUUACCGGAGAGAUUAAGUAUACCGAGGUUAAUCACGUUGUUGAUCUCUUUAGGUAUCUCUCCGUUGAUUCGGUUACGGCUGAGAUCUAUGGAGAUUAAAGUAGUGCAGCGUGAGAUUGAACUUGGGAUAACGCCGGUGAUGUUAUUCGCAAUCGUGUUGAUCUUCGAUAGAUGCUUCAAUUCGAAGAUCUCUCAUACUGCCGCGGAAUCGGUUCCGAUCUAAGAACAGAGUCUGUAAAUUAGGGAAAUGAUAGCCGGAGGAAUCUCGCCGGUGAACCAGUUGUUAGAGAGAUUGCUAUAGAAAGGGAGAAUGUAGUAAAAUGAUGAAAAGUCAAUCAUGCCAGCAUCUUUUGUCUCGUUCAAAACUCGUUGGGCUGCUGCUGUUUGCGCUCAGACCACACAGACACGAAACCCAACGAAAUGGCUAACCGAAUGGGCUGCAGAGCCGCGUGAUGUAUAUUGGCCAAACCUCGCCAUUCCAUAUGUUUCUUUGACUGUAAGAAGAUUGCUCAUGAAUGUAGCCUUCUUCUUCCUUACCUUCUUUUUCAUCAUCCCUAUUGCGUUUGUACAGUCUCUUGCUACUGUUGAGGGAAUUGAGAAAGUUGCACCGUUCUUGAAAGUCAUUAUUGAACAGUUUGCUAGCCGGUAUUGCGCUGAAGCUUUUCUUGAUCUUUCUGCCAUCCAUACUGAUGACCAUGUCCAAGUUUGAAGGCUUUACGUCAAUUUCAUCCUUGGAAAGACGAUCAGCGUCAAGAUAUUACAUUUUUAACUUAGUGAAUGUCUUUCUUGCAAAUGUUAUCGCUGGAGCUGCGUUUGAGCAGCUCAACUCUUUCCUCAAUCAAUCACCAAAUCAAAUCCCUAAGACAGUUGGCAUGGUGAUACCGAUGAAAGCAACCUUCUUUAUAACAUAUAUAAUGAUUGAUGGUUGGGCAGGAGUUGCAGGAGAGAUUCUCAUGCUUAAACCUCUCAUUAUAUUCCACCUCAAAAACGCAUUCUUGGUGAAAACAGAGAAAGACAGAGAGGAAGCAAUGGACCCAGGAAGCAUCGGUUUGUGUUUUUAUUAUGUACAUAGAGAGAGGUUUGUGUUUUUUUUUUUUUGCUUAGACGUUGUUGUUAAUGUGUUUCUUCUAUUGUCCAAGUAUUCAAGUGUCGGGGUCUUUACUU